rnacentral:rRNA from 1 species
UACGUAGGUGGCAAGCGUUGUCCGGAUUUACUGGGCGUAAAGAGCGCGCAGGCGGUCGAUCAAGUCGCGUGUGAAAGCCCCCGGCUCAACUGGGGAGGGUCACGCGAUACUGAUCGACUCGAAGGCAGGAGAGGGUAGUGGAAUUCCCGGUGUAGUGGUGAAAUGCGCAGAUAUCAGGAAGAACACCCGUGGCGAAGGCGGCUCUCUGGGACGGUACUGACGCUGAGACGCGAAAGCGUGGGGAGCGAACAGG